rnacentral:rRNA from 1 species
AAUCAACGCUGGCGGCGUGCCUAACACAUGCAAGUCGCACGAGAAAGGGACUUCGGUCCUGAGUACAGUGGCGCACGGGUGAGUAACACGUGAAUAAUCUACCUCCGAGUGGGGAAUAACUGAGAGAAAUCUUAGCUAAUACCGCAUAACACUUACGAGUCAAAGCAGCAAUGCGCUUGGAGAGGAGUUCGCGGCAGAUUAGUUAGUUGGCAGGGUAAGGCCUACCAAGACGAUGAUCUGUAUCCGGCCUGAGAGGGCGCACGGACACACUGGAACUGAAACACGGUCCAGACUCCUACGGGAGGCAGCAGUGGGGAAUUUUGCGCAAUGGGGGAAACCCUGACGCAGCAACGCCGCGUGGAGGAUGAAAUCCCUUGGGAUGUAAACUCCUUUCGAUCGGGAAGAUAAUGACGGUACCGAGAGAAGAA